rnacentral:rRNA from 1 species
GACAGAGCUUUCCCUUCGGGGACAAAGUGACAGGUGGUGCAUGGUUGUCGUCAGCUCGUGUCGUGAGAUGUUGGGUUAAGUCCCGCAACGAGCGCAACCCUUGAUUUUAGUUGCCAGCAUUUAGUUGGGCACUCUAAAGUGACUGCCGGUGCAAGCCGGAGGAAGGUGGGGAUGACGUCAAAUCAUCAUGCCCCUUAUGACCUGGGCUACACACGUGCUACAAUGGAUAGUACAAAGGGUCGCGAAGCCGCGAGGUGGAGCUAAUCCCAUAAAACUAUUCUCAGUUCGGAUUGUAGGCUGCAACUCGCCUACAUGAAGCCGGAAUCGCUAGUAAUCGUGGAUCAGCAUGCCACGGUGAAUACGUUCCCGGGCCUUGUACACACCGCCCGUCACACCACGAGAGUUUGUAACACCCGAAGUCGGUAGGGUAACCUUUAUGGAGCCAGCCGCCGAAGGUGGGACAGAUAAUUGGGGUGAAGUCGUAACAAGGUAGCCGUAUCGGAAGGUGCGGCUGGAUCACCUCCUUUCUAAGGAA